rnacentral:rRNA from 1 species
AUUGAACGCUGGCGGCAUGCUUUACACAUGCAAGUCGAACGGUAACAGGCCGCAAGGUGCUGACGAGUGGCGAACGGGUGAGUAAUGCAUCGGAACGUGCCCAGUCGUGGGGGAUAACGCAGCGAAAGCUGCGCUAAUACCGCAUACGAUCUGUGGAUGAAAGCGGGGGACCGUAAGGCCUCGCGCGAUUGGAGCGGCCGAUGUCAGAUUAGGUAGUUGGUGGGGUAAAGGCUCACCAAGCCAACGAUCUGUAGCUGGUCUGAGAGGACGACCAGCCACACUGGGACUGAGACACGGCCCAGACUCCUACGGGAGGCAGCAGUGGGGAAUUUUGGACAAUGGGCGCAAGCCUGAUCCAGCAAUGCCGCGUGCAGGAAGAAGGCCUUCGGGUUGUAAACUGCUUUUGUACGGAACGAAAAGGCUCUGGUUAAUACCUGGGGCUCAUGACGGUACCGUAAGAAUAAGCACCGGCUAACUACGUGCCAGCAGCCGCCGCAGUAA